AUUGAACGCUGGCGGCAGGCCUAACACAUGCAAGUCGAACGGUAACAGGAAGAAGCUUGCUUCUUUGCAGACGAGUGGCGGACGGGUGAGUAAUGUCUGGGAAACUGCCUGAUGGAGGGGGAUAACUACUGGAAACGGUAGCUAAUACCGCAUAACGUCGCAAGACCAAAGAGGGGGACCUUCGGGCCUCUUGCCAUCGGAUGUGCCCAGAUGGGAUUAGCUAGUAGGUGGGGUAACGGCUCACCUAGGCGACGAUCCCUAGCUGGUCUGAGAGGAUGACCAGCCACACUGGAACUGAGACACGGUCCAGACUCCUACGGGAGGCAGCAGUGGGGAAUAUUGCACAAUGGGCGCAAGCCUGAUGCAGCCAUGCCGCGUGUAUGAAGAAGGCCUUCGGGUUGUAAAGUACUUUCAGCGGGGAGGAAGGGAGUAAAGUUAAUACCUUUGCUCAUUGACGUUACCCGCAGAAGAAGCACCGGCUAACUCCGUG
rnacentral:rRNA from 1 species